rnacentral:rRNA from 1 species
GAUGAACGCUGGCGGCGUGCCUAAUACAUGCAAGUCGAGCGAACGGACGAGAAGCUUGCUCCUCUGACGUUAGCGGCGGACGGGUGAGUAACACGUGGAUAACCUACCUAUAAGACUGGGAUAACUUCGGGAAACCGGAGCUAAUACCGGAUAAUAUUUUGAACCGCAUGGUUCAAUAGUGAAAGACGGUUUUGCUGUCACUUAUAGAUGGAUCCGCGCUGCAUUAGCUAGUUGGUAAGGUAACGGCUUACCAAGGCAACGAUGCAUAGCCGACCUGAGAGGGUGAUCGGCCACACUGGAACUGAGACACGGUCCAGACUCCUACGGGAGGCAGCAGUAGGGAAUCUUCCGCAAUGGGCGAAAGCCUGACGGAGCAACGCCGCGUGAGUGAUGAAGGUCUUCGGAUCGUAAAACUCUGUUAUUAGGGAAGAACAAAUGUGUAAGUAACUGUGCACAUCUUGACGGUACCUAAUCAGAAAGCCACGGCUAACUACGUG